GGAAGGGUGGCCGAGUGGCUUAAGGCGACGGUCUUGAAAACCGUUGGGCGCAAGCCCCGGGGGUUCGAAUCCCUCCCCUUCCGCCA
rnacentral:tRNA from 1 species